AUUGAACGCUGGCGGCAGGCCUAACACAUGCAAGUCGAGCGGAUGAGAGGGGCUUGCUCCUUGAUUUAGCGGCGGACGGGUGAGUAAUGCCUAGGAAUCUGCCUGGUAGUGGGGGAUAACGUCCGGAAACGGGCGCUAAUACCGCAUACGUCCUACGGGAGAAAGCAGGGGACCUUUGGGCCUUGCGCUAUCAAAUGAGCCUAGGUCGGAUUAGCUAGUUGGUGAGGUAAUGGCUCACCAAGGCGACGAUCCGUAACUGGUCUGAGAGGAUGAUCAGUCACACUGGAACUGAGACACGGUCCACACUCCUACGGGAGGCAGCAGUGGGGAAUAUUGGACAAUGGGCGAAAGCCCGAUCCAGCCAUGCCGCGUGUGUGAAGAAGGUCUUCGGAUUGUAAAGCACUUUAAGUUGGGAGGAGGGGCAUUAACCUAAUACGUUAGUGUUUUGACGUUACCGACAGAG
rnacentral:rRNA from 1 species